rfam:Arabis alpina cultivar Pajares chromosome 1, whole genome shotgun sequence.
CUUACAGAUUUCUUUGGCAUUCUGUCCACCUCCUUCUAUACAUCUAUCAUACAUUUUUAGUAUGGAUAUGGUUUGUGAGUUAAUGAGGGAGGUGGGCAUACUGCCAAUAGACAUUUGUUAG